AUCAAAUAGCCUGGAUGCCAUAAAUCUUUCAUUUUCUCAUAUCAAAAAUGUCUCGUCUGUUUAGAUGAUAGCAUUUCCCCAAAAAUUUUCCUUUACCUGCCAUCUGUGCUGCUUGAGUUCCUCCACCAAAUCAAUCUCAAUCUGGGCUUCUUGACCAUUUUCCUUCCGGAGAAAAUUCAUUGUAAUUCAGUACUUCCCUCACCAGGUAUGAUUCUUCGCCCUUUUCUAAUACUUCUUUUGCAAGUUUAUGAGCGUGAAUGUUUUAUGAUCUGUGAAUAAACUGAAAAACAAUUUCUUGAAAGCAAGAUCUUUUACUUUGAAUGUCUCUAAUAAUUGCUCUAAUAACUGAUUUUUCUGGUUUUGUCGUUUGGCAUUUCUUGAUGUCUGUUUUUGAAUCCUCCAUUAUUGUCGCUAAAAUUAAACCCAUUGAAAUUCCUAACUUGAUGGCUUGUAAACCUGCAUAUGCCUCUGCUGCGAGCGGAGAUGAGACGUUCUUAUGAAUGAUCGUCUUUGAGGUUGAAAACUCACCCAUCUGAUCUCGAAUCACAAGACCCGAAGUUGAUUUGGAGUUUUUGUUAUCAAAAGCUGCAUUAAACUGUAUCGGUACCCUGGUUAUCUCCUCGUUUUGACUAUGGAUUCUAUCCAUCUUUAAGGUAAGCCUCUUUUCUCUCAAUCCUUCAAGUUCUGCCAUAGAUCUUUGUAUUCUCUGUGAGAGAUCCAUUCCUGUUGUGGUUUUUCUCUCAUGAACUAAUUGAUUCUGUGAGCUCCAGAUUAACCAUAAGGCACAACAAAAAGUUCGACAUUGUUUAUUGGUACCCUUUUUGAAAACCCAGGUUAGCCAAUCCUAAAUAUCUUGAUUCAUGUGUGUUGUGACACAAGAGAGAUUAAGAUUUUUCCAUACUUCCAUGAUUUUAGGGCAUUGCCGAAAGGCAUGGUUACUAUCCUCUUCCCAGUAGCAACAGCGAGGACAUCUAGCAUUUGUUGUCACUCGUUUGUGUCUUAGGUUGACUAGAAUAGGGAUGUAGUUCCAAGAGAUUCGCCAUAUUGUGAUUAUAAUUUUUUAUGGUAGCUUUAAAUUCCAUAGUUUUCUAUAGAAAUCUUUGAUUUUAGCUUGUAAUAAAUAACUAUUAGGAUCCAAGCUAGCAUAUUGCAAUAGUUUAUAGGCGCUUCGUAUUGAGUAUUCACCGGAAGGUUCUCCUUUUCACACUUGAAAGCCGUUAUGAUCUGCUUCCGCUAGAGGGAUUAGCAAGAUUUUUGGGCAAUGUCUGUUUGAAAGGUAUUCUUAAUCAACUCCGUUUUUUGUGCCUUAUUUGUGGUAUCAAUUAAAUCCGACACUAAUUUUAGUUCAUCAUUGUCUGCUCUAUUUUGCCAAUCCUUUGUUUCUAUCCCUGGGAUCCAUCGAUCAUUCCAAAUAGAAAUUUCAUUCUCUCUUCUAACUCUCCAGCAUAGUCCAUUAAGAAGAAGACCCUUUGCUACCCAAAUGCUUUUCUAGGUAAAUGAAGGUAUAUUUCCCAACUAUGCGUUUAGAAAAUUUAAAUGCAUAUAAUAUUUUUCUUUAAGAACUCUGGCCAAUAGAGAAUUUGGAUAAUUAAAAAGAUGCCAACCUUGUUUGGCUAAUAACGCAAUGUUGAAUUGACUAAAAUUUCAAAAACCUAAACCUCCGUUUUCUUUUAAGAUGCAAAGGUUUUUCCAAGAACACUAGUGAAUUCCCUUCUUCCCACGUCCCUUUUGCCACCAAAAAUUAGCAGUAAUACUUUCUAGAUCAUCACAUAACAAUUUUGGUAGUAAGGAACAAGCCAUUGCAUAAGUCAGUAUGGCUUGGAGAACAUCCUUGAUGAAUACUUCUUUUCCACAUUAGGAUAGGUAUCUAACACUCUAGUUAUCAAUGCGCUGUUUUAAUCGAUCCUUUAAAAUUUGAAAAGAUUCAUUUUUUCUUCUACCAACCAUAUUCGGCACACCUAGUUAGCGUUCUGAAUCACUUGAACUUAGUACUCUUAGUAAGUUAACAACCAAUCGUCUAUCUUUCUCCAAUGUGUUUUUACUAAAAAAGAUAGUUGAUUUGUCAAAAUUUACACACUGACUCGAACAAUUUUUGUACUCACGUAGGAUCUCCUUGAUUACAUAAGCUCCCCUCCUUGUUGCCUCCCCAAAUAAAAUGUAGUCAUCUGCAAAUAAUAAGUGUGACACCUGUGGGUCGCUUCUACUAACCUUUGACACCUUUUAAAAGUCCUUCCCUUGUUGUUAGUCUCAUAAAACAAGAUAAACCCUCUCCACAUAUUAGGAAUAAAAACGGACUCAAGGGAUCACCUUAUCGAAGUUCCCUGGUCGGACGAAAAAUUUCUCCAACAUUCCCAUUAACCAUUACUAAAUAAGAAACAGUGGACAUACAUUUCAUAAGAGUUUCGAUCCAUUUUUGAGCAAAUCUCAUCGUACCAUUAUCUCCCUAACAAAGUUCCAUUCAACCCUAUCAUAUGCCUUACUCAUGUUUAAUUUUACCACCAUAAAUCCCUUUUUCCCCAAUCUCUUCUAUUUUAGCGUAUGCAAAAUUGCAUAGGCUAACAGUUCAUUAUCCGAUAUUAAUCUUCCUGGCACAAAAGCACUUUGUGCACCAUCAAUGUAUUUUUCAAUAACUCCUCUAAAUCAGUUUGCUAUUGCCUUUGCCAACACCUUAUAAAGAACAUUGCAUAAACUAACAGGUCAAAAAUGUGUCAUAUUAGAAAGGUUGGUAAUUUUUGGGAUAAGUACAAUAUGUGUUGAAUUUAUUGAACUCACCUCCAUAUCUCCAUUUAAAAGUUGUAGACAAAAAGAGAUGACUUCUUCUCCAAUAAUAUGCCAACAUUUUUGAUAAAAUAGGGCUGGAAAUCCAUCUUCCUCUGGUGCUUUUGUAGAUACCUUUUCAAACAUUGCCUCUCGAACCUCCUCUUUUGUGUAUUGUACUGUAAGUUUUCUGUUAUCUUCCUCAUAGACACAGUGGUCUAUACCUGAAAGAAAAUGAUCAUAAUUUUCCCUACCUCAUGCUAUGAAUAAGUUCUGAAAAUAAGAUCGUGCAACACCAUCCAUUUCUUGUAGGUCUUCCGUUUCCCAUCCACUUUCAUUUUGUAACUUAUGAAUCAGAUUUUUCCUCUUCCGCUAUGUUGCUUGACUAUGAAAAGAUGUUGUGUUUCUAUCACCAAAUUUUAACCAGUUCUGUCGAGCCCUUUGUUCCCAAUAACAUUCAUUCUUGCCAAUCUCAAAGUUUAGUUGAAUCUUCAUAUCAAUCAUCUCAGCCAAAUUAUUAUCAUCCCUUUUAGCUUCAAUCAAUUCUGAUAAUUUUGCUGUUAAAAACUCUUUUCUCUUAUUCCUAGUUAUUCGUAUUUGCCUAGCCCAUUUAGACAAGCCAUUUCUUAAGAUUUACAGCUUUUGCAACAAGUUCUCCAUGACAUUUCCAAAAUAUAUUUAACUUAGUCAAAAAAAAAAGUCCUCCAAUGUCCACCAAGCUUCAAAUUUGAAUCUAUUGCCUUUCCACCGUUCUUCUUCCCUUUUUGUAUCAAUUAAAGAAGGACAAUGAUCGAAAAAAGUAUGCACUAGAUGCUGAAUUUUUACCUCUGGAAACAUAGAAAUCCAUUCCACAUUGGCCACUCCCCUAUCCAGUCGUUCUUGCAUGUUUGUCUUCGGUAAAUUUCCCCUCUCCCAAGUAAACCAGCUGCUAGAAUACCCCCUAUCAAUCAAUUGACAUUCCUCUUAACAUUUUUUGAAAUAGUUUUAUUUUUCUUUCAUCUCUAGGUAGACCUUCCUUUUUUUCAAACCUAUACAUAAUUUCAUUGAAGUCUCUACAUACAAACCAAUGGAUACCCUCAUCAUUAUAAAGGUUUUUCAAAACAGCCCAUGAAUCAUCUCUAUCUUGUGUAUAAGGAUAUCCAUAAAAACCUGUAUAUCUCCAUUUGUCAUUAACUUCGUUAUCUUUCACUAUCACAUCAAUAUGUCUUUUAGAGAAAUUUCGAAGCGAGAUAUUAAUACCAUUUCGCCAUGCCAAACACAGUUCUCUCUAGUACCUUCUAACCCGACUUCGAUCCUAUUUACAAAACCACAACUCCGUCGAACUCUUUCCAUCCGAAUUUUACAAGGUUUGGUCUCCAUAAAGAAGACUAUUUGGGGAUUAUAAAUCUUCAGCAAGUGUUGAAGUCUUCGAACUGUCCGUGGGAUCCCCAGACCAUGGAUAUUCUAGCUUAAGAUUUUCACUGCUCCCGAUUGGCUUACCUCUUGGCAGCCGCCGAUGAUAAAUGAUUAAUUUCCACCAUUCUCCUGUUUCUUACCAUUACGUUGCUGAUCUCUUCUUUUCCUGUUAAGUAUUUAAUCUCUCCCCUAGAUCUCUUCUUCCCCUUCUCUCCGAUUAAAACUUCAUUUUCCAAAUCAUGAUCCAUAGCAGUUUGGGCCUGAUCUGCCAAUAAUUUUUCCUUCCGUUGACCAAAAGAUAAUGAUCACCCUUCCAAAUUAAAACCAAGAACUGGAUCAAUAAUCUUCCCACAUCUCCCUUUAUUUUCCCCCUUCCACUUAUCGUGUCCUAGUCCUCUAUUAUUCUCACAGAUUCCUCCCAAUUUCCCCUCCCCUUCCUCACGUAACCAAAUACUAUUCAUAGCUAAAGCUCUUCGAGGUUGUGUUCGUAACGACAAAUCCCAGCCUAUUUCAGCUAUUUUCGCUCUAAGUGUCAUUUUUGCUUCAUAAAAAAAUCACUAUGGCCCAAUUGACCACAAUAGAAACAGAAUAAUGAUAAUCUUUCAUAUUUAAAGUUGACAUAUGAACGUCUCCCACAAAACAUAAUAUGUUUCUUUCUUUUUCAAAGGACGCCUUAUAUCAAUUUGGGCUCUCAUUCUAAUAAAAUUUUUAUUUUCUUUCCCCAGAUUCGAUCCAUCAUAUUCCAAAAAAUUCCCUAAAAAAUUACCCAACUGUACUGCCAGAUUCUUAGAAAAUAGACCAAUAGGAACAUCAUGGAUUUGUACCUAGAAAGGCGUCAAUACUAGUGGCACUUGUAAUGGAUCCUCCUUCCAUUGCAGUUUAUAAAGUACCAACAGAUGGUUAUUAAAGGUCUAUGGGGAACCCUUCAAAACUCUUUCCACAUCCAUAACAUGAAAAAAUUGAAACAAAUACCUUUUCUCCCCCAUAUCUCAGAUUUGAACACCCCGAACAGGAUGCCACAGAUUCGCCAUAGUACUUUUCAUUGCUAGAAAGUGAAUUAUGCUGGCUGUUAGGAAACAUCCCACUAGUUGAAAAAACUCCCCCUCUCUUUCCGUGUUCGGAUCUAUUUGUAUUUGCAUAACUUCUUCUUCUUCUUCAUUGAUCGUCAAUUGAGCUAAUUCGUUUUCCAUUGGUGCAAGUAUGGAUCAGGAACGUGAAUAUCACUCUUCUAAUCUUGGAAGAAUAGAUUUACGUGGUAUGCUGCCUUCAAAUAACAAAAAAACCAAAACACAAAAAAACCUAAAACUCUUGCCAGAGACGACAAACAAUAGCGUGCUAGGGUAGUAGACUAAUUUUUUAAUCCUACAUAUAUAAUUAAUUGUUGCAUCGCAUGGAUAUACAACUUAGUAUUAUAUAUAUAAAUUUUUUUUGGUAAUUAUCUUGAAGUAAAGCUGCUUGUUCCUUCAUCCAAACCCAAGUAAUUUAGAAAAAUUAAACCCAUCCUUUCCUGACCUGACCCGCAACCCAAUUGUUCGAAAACAAUCUGAUCCAAUGGGAUCGGGCGCCUACUUUCUUUGUAAUAAAGGAAAACGAAAAUGAAAAAACUGGCUUGUCUCAGUCUAAGAUAUUAAAGAACUUGGGCCGGAAAUUUCUCAAUGGGCGGAUCUCAUUCAAAGAAAAUUUCCCAAGUUGGAGAUUUUUCUGGGAUGGUCUUAGCUAGGCUGAUGGUUGAGAAAAUUUCCUUUCUAAAAUCGGGAUACCUUUUCUUUUUUAAAUCAAUUAAUAAAAAGAUUUUAGUACUAAUUUAAUUACUUAUAUUAAUUAGAACAUAUGAAAAACUUUGCAAUAAUUAAUUAUUGGAUAAACUACAAUUACACUUAUAUCUACUAUUUAAUUGUUGCUUGUAUAUUUUUAUUCCCUCACGUAAGAUAAGCCAAAAAAAACAAGAGGAAAAUGGAAAAGAAAGUAGGCUUUAGUCUAGCUUCCAUCAUUGUAAACUCCCUUACAGUUCAAUGGCAGAGUGUAGCUUCUUAAUCUAACGGUCCUGCGUGUGAGCACUAUUUAUUUAUUUUUAUUUUCUUUUUUAACAGCUCGCAACUAUUGUAUCAAUUAUUUAAGAGCCCAUAACCUCUAGGCCCAUACAACGAACUGUUGCUAAAUUCAAUCUCAAUGGCUUUUUGGUCAUUUUAUUCUAAAUUUAGGGUUUGCAGUCCCGCAACACACAAUCACCGCUAUAAAAGCUCCAACCCUUGCUAAGCAGAUGACAUAACCUGCCCGGAAAACCCAACCGAGGCUACCUUAUUUGAUGUAUUCCAUUUUUUAAAAUUCUAUUUUUUCUUUUCAGUCGCUUUUGAUAGGCGUUGCGUUCUUCAGUAGCUUUUAUCAGAAUCCUGAAGGGCGCGUCAACGAAAGCGUAAAUUACCUUCAAUUCCAACGAUUCAUUAAAAAUCUGCAUGCUACGCGUUUUUCACAGCGAAUUGUAGCUUGUAACGAGUUGGAUUCUGCCAUUUUGAUAAUUUCAAUUCGAACCAGAUCUGUUUUUCAAAGUUAAUUCACUUCUGAAAACCUAGUAUUGUCAGUAAUUUUAAAGUUAUUGUAGAUUAAAGUUGCUUCUUACUGGUGAACGCUCUCAGAUUUAACAGUGAGGGAUGUUCAUGUUUCCGAAGCAUAAAUUAAUCUGUUUUUAGCCAGUUUUAAACAGCGUUGUGCGUUAUUUUCUUAAAUGCACUGCGCUACCUGUCUCCUGGUAUAUAUUUAUUAAUAUUUUUUGUGAUUUUUUUCUGUUUCCAGAUCCUAAUGUUUUGGUUGUUGUGCACGGUCUUUUGUAGUGGUUUUAAAUUUUGAAUUAAAAGUCGGAUUUAUUUAAUUUUAACUAGGAAAAUCAAGUUUAUGUUUGAAUCAGUAAAUUAAGAUGCUCUUAGAACCGAGAUUUAAUUUAUAAACACCAAAAAUGAAGCCUAGGUAGUGAAUUAUGCUCUGUAGUUAAGACCUGGGUUGAUUUGAAGAUAACGGAGAAAAGAAAAGUCAUAGUAACUCGCACGAAUAGCUUAAAUGGUAAUCUAUGAGUCAAUAGACAAGAAACUGGCCUUCGCUUGGUUUUUUUUUUUUUUGGGUGGGGGGGAUUGCCUCAAUCGCGCUUUUGUAUGGGUACGAUGAAAUUAGCAGUAGUUUUGAAACGACAUGAACUUAAAUGAACUUAUCUUGCAACGAACGGAUUGAGCAUCAAAAUUUUGAAGACCAGCCCAUGAUGAUAUUCACGUUAGCUGGCUUAAAGUUUUACCAUGCACUCAAUGGAAAAUUUGACAGAACAUUGUGAAGGUGAUUGUGUUUUUAGCCCGUUUUGAGUUUAGUAAGUAAAUCACUUGUAAAAUUUGAUCCAAGCAAACUCAUAUACAUGUUUGACUGAAUAGGAAAUAGUUUUUCAUCUUUUAAAAGUUAAACUAAACUUGUAUUGAUAAGCUAAGAAGAGUUUAAAAUAAAGAUUAUUAUAAGAAAUAGAUAAAAUAAUUAUGUUAACUGGUUGUUAUAGUUAUCUUAAUCAUAAACUCGUUUUAGUUAUCAAUUAACAGUUUAUAAACAUGUGAUGGGUGAUGCGUUUACAUAGGUUGUCAAUUGAUAAUUAAGAAGGGUUUAAAAUAAAGAUAAUUAUGGUCAUUAGAUAAAAUAACUAUGACAACUAAUUAACAAUACAAUUAAAAAAUUAAUUGAUUUGUGUAUUCGUUGUUUAAUCAGAGUUAGUAAAUAACGGCUAAACUAAUAAAUUGAUUUGUGAUAUGUAUAAAUCUAUCUAUCAAUAGGGAUAAAAACGUAAAACUUACUGUUGAUAUAAUUUGUAAUUGAUUUGGUCCCAUGAAAAUAGAUGCAAACACCUAAGGGUGCAUCCAAAAUUUUAUUACGUAAAUGGGCAUCCAUGUGAAAUAAAUCUGAAUGAUCAAUAAAGGUAUUAUUGGUUUAAUGGUAUAUAUAUGUUGAAUUGGUUAUUGAUUAAUAUGUUUAGGUCGAAUACUAGUCGUUUAUAUUUUUAUUAUUAUGUCAUAUUUGAUUUUGAGUUACUUUUAGUAUAAGCGAGUAUACAUUAUUCAAUUAUGGAUUUGUUUGUUUUUGUGUGUAGGGCUCGAAUAAAAGACUUAUUAAAAAUUGUAGGUAGUGGUAGUGUAGAUACUUUUCAAUACUUAUCGAGUUUGUUUUUAAGCCAUUUUGUAUUUAAUUAUUAAAUUUUUUAUUUUUAUAACUUAGAUUUAAUUUAUUGCAAAAUAAGUCUUUUUAUGCUUAACUUUAGAUUUAAUUCAUUCUUCCUUGGGUAUAAUUUAAACCUGUUAUUGUAGAAAUAAUUUUAGAUUUAAUCCAUCCUACUUUGGGUACGAUUUUCGGAGUACUUUCAGUACCCCGUUGUACAAUAAUAUAUUAUAAUUUAACCUGCAUACUUACGGACAUCGCUAUUUUAAUUUCAUAUAUUUUGUAGUAGUAUUUCCAGUUCAAACGUUUGCACAUAUGGCGGUAGUUAAGUUGUUGGCCCCGUUGUUGGGAGAUUUUGACAUUAUAUUUAAUUUCAUUUUCUUCAAGCUGUAGGAUAAAUAGGACAUUUGAAAAUUAUAGAUACAAAUUUUAUUUUUAUUUUUUUGGUUUUUUCUAUUUUCAAUUUUAACUUUUAUUCAUUAAUUUUUAUUCUUUGUGUCUGAUUUCAAUAUAUGACCCAAAGUGGGAGCAUUCCAAAUGAGCCACACUUUGAUCUGGAGCAAUUGUUAAGACACAAUCAUCAACUGAUGCAAAAAGAUCCACCUAUGGUAGUUGACUUACCUCGGGAGAACCCUUUAUUUGAUGAUUCACCUGAACCACGAGCAUAAGUUUGUGGAGAGUUACUGAUGGCUCAACAAAGGACGUUGCACGAUUAUGAACUACCAACACUAGAAGUCGUCCAAGGCAAUAUUGAAAAAUUGAUGAUUAAUGCCGAUAAUUUCGAGAUCAAAACGGCUACAAAUCAAAUGAUUCAAAACACCUUACAGUUAUAUGAGGGAACAUGAUGGAGGACCCGAACCAAUAAUUGAAACAAUUUCUUCAGCUCUGCGAUACCUUCAAGUAUAACGGGGUCACUAAUAAUGUUGUUUGUCUUCGGUUGUUCCCCUUCUCCUUAUGUGAUAACAAAGUUGAUUGGUUGGAUUCAUUGAAACUUUAUUCCAUAACUACAUGGAAAGAGUUCGCUGAAAAGUUUCUACAAGAAUUCUUUCCCAUCAGCAGAACUAUUUAACUUAGGUGCGAUAUUGUGAAUUUUAAGCAGGAGGGUGAAACUUUGUAUAAGGCUUGGGAAAGAUUUAAGUUGCUAUUAAGGAGCUGUCCUUAUCACGGAAUGAAAGAGUCGCUCCGCAUGCUGAUUUUCUACAAUGGACUGGACAGUAAUCUAAGGUCCAGUUUGGAUAGUGCAUCCGGAAGUGUCCUUAUGAACCACACAUACGAGCGAGCCUGUCAGUGAAUUAAUGACAUGUUCAUGAACUUGUAUAUGUAGCCUAACGAGAUUCUCCUACAACCCAAAACCACCAACGGUGAAAGUUAUCAAUGAAGGGGAUAAGUAUCAACAAAUUUUGGAUAAAUUGAACCUUUUGGAGACGACCAUUAAACCAUUAAUAACGGAGUCAUCUCGAGGCUAUGGGUCACAUUUUGAAAGCCAACUCAAGGAGGUAGAAUAUUUGAGUGAUAAGGGUAGAAACCUCUAUUCAAAUACAUAUAACCUCGACUGGAAAAUCAUGCAAACCUAAAGUGGAGAGGUAACCAAGGAGGCGUAAAUCCAAUGCUUAACCAAUUAACUCCUCCUUAUCAACCUCUGCAUGUACAAAGAUAUCAAGAGAGGCUCAUUAGGAAUGACCAUGCUGCAUGUGGUCAAAGGCUAGACAGAAUAUAAUGAGAAAAAUGGAUCUUCGACUAGUCUACGCUAAGUGUGACUAACUCAAGUAUCAGAUGGAUAGCCUUCAUGAAUGAAUAAAGUCAAAUGAUAAGCUUGAUGAAAAAGCAAAUAGGCCAAGGCAUACCUAGUGAUAUGGAGAAUAAUCCUAGCACAGAUGGGAAAGAGCAUGUGAACAUGAUUGCCUUACGAUUAGGUAAAACACUUGACAAUCCGAGUAUCACCAUCCAAGAAAAUAAGGAUUUUCUAAAUUCUGUGAAUGAACUUCAAAAGGAAAACAAGACUGAAAAGUUGAUUAAGCAAGUAGCCAAAACGAUAGCUGAGCCAGUGAUUUCGAAACCUAACACGACAAAUAUACCAUUCCAAUCGAGGCUUGAGGACAAACAAAUGAGAGAUGAAGCGGAUUUUUGUGUUGUAAAGUAUCACACUGUGUUGUGACACACCAUCGAAACUUGUAACAUUCCUUUUUCAAAUUUUCACGUAAUCUGCUAAUAUUAUGUGUAAAAAGCACGUUACUUUAGCGCUAAAGCCUUCUAUGAAUCAUCCUUAGUAGUUACCAAUGCUCCAAAGCUAAGUUUUAACCACUGACCAACAUCCUCUUCAUUAUCUCUUAAAAAUUUUCUUUUACUUUCUCACUCUUUCGUUUGCACAUACGUGGCUGGCUUGAUUUGUCAUGAUCAAAUUGCAAGGACAACCUAUUGCAGUCACGAUGACUGACUUGUCAAACCUGAGCAAAAGAAAAACCAAUGUGAGGCAUUCCAAAUUCUUACUUUAUUCAUACGUUAAUUUUUAAAUUGUCAGUCUGGUCAAUGACAAAUAUGCGUAAUAUAGCAUCAGAUAGUGAGUCUGUGUGGGGGAUAACUUUACAAUACUUUAAGAAAAGGAACUUGAAAAUUACCUUAAUGAAAUUAAAGGAAAGGCACCUCUGCAAGAGAAGGGAUUCGAAUCCUCAAUGAAUCUUAGUGGUACAAUCCAAGAAUUGAUUCAAUACUAUAGGUGGGACAAAUUUCGUAAAAUCUCGAUAGACUCGACCAACAUUCCUGUUGUACAAGAAUUUUAUGCCUCAUUAAAAGAAACAGAAGCCAAGGGACCAUUGGGUGAGCCAAGUCGUACGUCACUGUCAAGGGCAUAGACAUAUCGAUAUCACCCUCAGAAAUUUGUAGAUAUUACGAUGUUCCAUUCUACAUCUAUGAUUCUUUUGCAAAAAUCGGAUCUAAUUUAUUUUCCAAAACAUAGAAAUGAACAUCAUAAUAGGCUACUUAAUCUGCCGUAAUUUGAUACGAUAAAUUAGGCUUUCUUGGUAUACUUAAGGAGCUUAUUCUCAAGUAAAGUAAAGUCUUUUCUGUAGUUUUUUUAUAAUUUUUAAAAUUUAAAGUUAAUAAGUGUAAAUGUCUUGUUUUUACUCAUUUUGAGACCCAAUGUAACAUCCUAAAAUUGGGCCUAGUCGAAAUAGUGGUUUCGGGAUCACAAAUAUGACAUUAAAACAAUUGUUUUAUUAUUAUUAUGAGGCAUAGGAUAUGAAAAUGAGCAUAUGUUAAAGUUUCAUGAAAAAAUUCCAAGUAUAAGGUGUCUGAUUGGAAAUUAGGGACCAAAUUGAAUAAAUUGCAAAACUUGGGUUCUAGAAGCAAUUUCUAUGAAAUUGUUUUGGAUUAUUAAUUAGGAGGUCUUAAAUAGCAAUUUUUUCAAUUUUUAAGUUUUUGAACAAAAAUGGGCAUGCAUGAAAAAUUUUGAAAGUUUAGUAUGGAGUGGCAUUUUGGUCAUUUUGAUAAUAAAAUUAAUAAAAAGGGAAAAUGAAAGCUAAAAUCAGCCAUCUUCUUCCCCAUAGCUACCGAAAUUUGUAUGUUCUCCAUAGCUAGGGUUUCAACAUUUUCAAGCUCAAUAGUAAGUGCUCCCUAGCCCCGUUUUUAAUGUUCUUCGUAUUUUUGAGAUCCUUGUAACAUGCUCUAUCUAUUUCUACCCAUAUUUUAAGCUAGGGUUUGUGGUUAGAAAUUUACCCAUGCAUGAGAUGCUUGUGUUUUGAUUAUUUAUGGAGGAAUAAGAGAGCUUAAAAGAUAGUAAACAACUUUUACUAAGUAGAUUUUCAUGGAAAUGGCUUAAAGGACCAUUUUGUAAAAGUCAUAAAAAUGGGUAGAAAAGUGUGAAAUGAAGGAAAAUUUUGGCUGAUAUAAGUAUAAAAAUUAUUCGGCUAGGCUUGGGUAACCAAGAAAAUUACAUGCAUUUCAUUAUACAAGCCUAGAGACUAAUUUGUAAAAGUUGUAAAAGGUUAGGGGCAAAAUGGUCAUUUCAUCAAAGGUUGGGUUUUAUGCUAAAAAUGAGUAAUGUGAGAUAUUAAUAAUUUAUUGUUGCUUAUAUAGACCCCGAGAGACCAAUCCCAGAGGUCGACUGAGGAAAACAAAAGGUUUCGGAGUAACCGAAAUUAGAAUUCGAAACGAUUACCAGGUAAGUUCGUGUAACUCGAAUGUAGACUAUUUAAAUACAUUAAAAAUAUAUAUUAAUGUAUGAAAAAUAGUGUUAAUGAAAAGUUGAUAAACUAUAUCGGUUGAAUAACAAGGAUAUCUAAUGGAAUUUUCCAGAAAUAAAUUGACAGUAAAAGGGAUCUAACCCUGGCGGGUGAUCCUAAAGUGAUCUAGCCUCCCGAAGAAUAUGUGUACUAAAAUGGAUUUAGCCCAGACGGUCAAUCCGAUUAUAAUUUGAAUUUAGCCUGGACUGGUAAUCCCACCGUAAGAGCGAGGUUCGCGGGAGUGUGUACUUAAAAUGAUCACUUGCAUGAAAUAACGGUAAAUGGGAUAUCCAUCGAGAUUCCAAGAAAUUCAACGAGGUUAAAAUGAGAAAUGAGAAUAGAAUUUCUUGAAUCGAUGAGCUCAUCUAAGAUUAAUGCUAUAAUGUAUUGACAUGAGACUAACUUGAGGAUCGAGUGUAUAUAAUAGGGAAAUUAUAUUAUACUUGUUGGAGUGAAUAACUAAUAUGGUUUUAUGCUAAACAACUGGUAAGUCUACUUUCUAGUUAUCUGAACUUACUAAGCAUGUUAAUUCAUACCCCCUUUCUUUUCCCUUGUCUUAUAGAGCUCGCGAACUCGUGAAGAUUGGAAGACAGUUGGAGCUCCAAUCACACUAUCAACUUGUCUUACUUUGGUAUAUAGAAACUUUUAUUUUUUUUAUAAUGGCAUGUAUAGGAUUCUUGGUCAUUUUUGUUAUAUGUGUUAUUUGGCUAGCCAAAGUAAAGGCUUAAAUGAUAUGCUUAUUCAUUUUGUAUAUGGCCAUGAGAUAUGGCUCAUAUUGUAAUGCCCCGUACCCGAGACCGUUGCCGGAGUCGAACACGAGGUGUUAAUAGACUUAAUUCAUUACUUAAACAACUCAAACAAUUUAUUUGUAAAAUUUUCAGUCAAGCUAACAAUCUACGUCAUAGUCGCUUAAAAAUUCAUAUCUCGAGUUAGAAAACUCAAUCUAAUUCUGUAAAUUUUUCCUGAGACUAGACUCAUAUAUAUAUUUACUAAUUUUUUUAUAGAAUUUUUGGUCAAGCAAAUUAGUACAAUUUAUUAGUUAAAGUAUCCCCUGUUUCAGAGUUUGACUGCUCUGACCUCUGUGUAUUACGAAUUAGAUAUCUCCUUGUACAGAGUUUCAAUGACUGUCGUUUGUUUCUAAUAAAACUAGACUCAAUAAAUAAUCUGUACAUAUAAAUCAUGACUUAUAAUUAUCUUUGAACAAUUUAUGGUGAAUUUUCAAAGUCAGAACAGGGGAUUCAGAAAUCGCUUUGGC
rnacentral:lncRNA from 1 species